AACGUAAGUAAUGAUAUUCGUUUGUAUUUAUACUGCACAGAUUUAUAACGUAAAACAAUGUCAUAUAUAUUUAUGAUUUUUAUUUUAUUCACAACCUUGGUUCACUCAGAGGAUUUGACACAAUGUCGGUUGCCCUAUGAAGAGUGUUCCCUGCAGUCAUGCUGUCGUGGAGGCACAUGUGUUGACUACAGUGGAUAUUCCAUACCUGGUCUUCAGAUCUGUGUCAGUUAAGAUGUACAAUCCUACCCUCUACAGUGUAGGACUGCGAAGGAAAUUUAAACUGUUAUAAGUAACAAUUACAUGAUAAUCUUUUCUGA